CGAUAGUGAACCAGUACCGUGAGGGAAAGGCGAAAAGAACCCCGGCGAGGGGAGUGAAAAAGAACCUGAAACCGUGUACGUACAAGCAGUGGGAGCACCUUCGUGGUGUGACUGCGUACCUUUUGUAUAAUGGGUCAGCGACUUAUAUUCUGUAGCAAGGUUAACCGUAUAGGGGAGCCGUAGGGAAACCGAGUCUUAACUGGGCGUUAAGUUGCAGGGUAUAGACCCGAAACCCGGUGAUCUAGCCAUGGGCAGGUUGAAGGUUGGGUAACACUAACUG
rnacentral:rRNA from 1 species